rnacentral:rRNA from 1 species
CCCUUAGAUGUUCUGGGCCGCACGCGCGCUACACUGAUGCAUUCAACGAGUUUCUUCCUGGUCCGAGAGGAAUGGGUAACCUUUUGAAAGUGCAUCGUGAUAGGGAUAGACUAUUGCAAUUAUUGUUCUUCAACGAGGAAUUCCUAGUAGACGUAGUUCAUCAGACUGCAUCGAUUACGUCCCUGCCCUUUGUACACACCGCCCGUCGCUCCUACCGAUUGAAUGCUCAGGUGAGCCAUUCGGACUUUCAUCAUGCUGGUUUCCAGUUUUGAUGAAGGAAAGUCUUGCGAACCUUAUCAUUUAGAGGAAGGAGAAGUCGUAACA